rnacentral:rRNA from 1 species
UGGGGAAUUUUGGACAAUGGGCGAAAGCCUGAUCCAGCAAUGCCGCGUGUGUGAAGAAGGCCUUCGGGUUGUAAAGCACUUUUGUCCGGAAAGAAAUCCUUGGCUCUAAUACAGUCGGGGGAUGACGGUACCGGAAGAAUAAGCACCGGCUAACUACGUGCCAGCAGCCGCGGUAAUACGUAGGGUGCAAGCGUUAAUCGGAAUUACUGGGCGUAAAGCGUGCGCAGGCGGUUUGCUAAGACCGAUGUGAAAUCCCCGGGCUCAACCUGGGAACUGCAUUGGUGACUGGCAGGCUAGAGUAUGGCAGAGGGGGGUAGAAUUCCACGUGUAGCAGUGAAAUGCGUAGAGAUGUGGAGGAAUACCGAUGGCGAAGGCAGCCCCCUGGGCCAAUACUGACGCUCAUGUACGAAAGCGUGGGAGCAAACAGGAUUAGAUACCCUGGUAGUCCACGCCCUAAACGAUGUCAACUAGUUGUUGGGAUUCAUUUCCUUAGUAACGUAGCUAACGCGUGAAGUUGACCGCCUGGGGAGUACGGUCGCAAGAUUAAAACUCAAAUGAAUUGACGGGGUCAUAGCUGUUUCCU